UCCUUCUUCCCCCAGGAGCGAGGGUGGAGCCUCCGUGCCCUCCCCUGCUAACCCUCAGGGAAGCGGCAGCCCGCGGGGACAGCUGCAGUGCACAUGUGGCCGCUGCGCGAAGGGAAGCGGCUCGUGAACCGCCCACGUGAAGCAGGCUGGGGGCCGGGUCCUUCUGCUCAAAUGACCCUAAAUCCACGGCGUUACCUCCGCGAGACACACGGGCAGCAAAGCACCGUGCUGCAGCCCAGCAACCUGGAGGCACGGGAUGGAGCGGGGUGCGGCCACCGGGCUGGGAGCAGAGCUGGGUGCACAGCGGUGCUGCGGUGGUGGUCGGUCGGCCCGGCCCCGGUCCUCCAAACGCGUGGGAGUUUAAUGUUACUACUGUGUGGCCGUGCCGUCGGGUCCGAGGAAUCCCUGGCUCCGCGGGAGCAGCAGCCCGCACCAGGAACGUGGUGCAGCCUCUGCUUCGGACAGGAGGACGUCCGUCCCAGGAGAAAGAGCAUCAGUUCUCAGGUAACGUGCUGCUACUUGUGGGUUUCCACGCGGAGAGAAAAUAACUUUUCUAUUAGGGCUAAAUAGUGCCCGACCCUUUGGCCUUUUCGGUUCUGUAGUUUAUCGGUGACGUUUUACAGAAGCCUAAAGAUUCCUGCUUUAUUUUGGGAGAGGUGAGGAGGCCUAAGUGUUGUGAGGGAGGGCAGCAAAUAGGAAGCCCUCCUGAAGCCUGGUCGGUUGCGUGAGAACAGCAGUGCUGGUAGUGUUAUUUGGGAUUGUCCCAUUAAAACAUGCAAGUGACAGGAUGUUACAGAAAGGCCGAUGUACUUGUUAGCUGGGGUGUGUGUUUCAGUUCACCUCGUAUUAAAAUACAAAGUGAAUUUGAAGUGGAUGCUGUGGUUUGUGUUUGGUCAAAGACAGGGCUAAAAAAAAUAAUUCUUUCUAAUUGUUUGUGGCUUAUUUUCUUGUGCUGACAAAUAUAUUUGAUGUGGUAGCAAUUAAAGAUAUUCUGUUUCGAUUAAAUUGAGGGACAGAUACUUGUUUUUGAAGCAUGCUGGUUAAUUAAACAAGAGUUAGUAAAUGGCAAAAAGCUAUAGGCAGGAUGCUUUCUGACGAUAUGCAGUUCCUUGGGGUGAAAUUAGUCACUAAGCAAAAUUUUCUGAUGAGGAAAGAGGUGAUAUUUUCAAGAUAUUAUAUACUUUGUGUGAGCUUCUUAUACACCAAUAGAGAGAGGAGCUGUGUUGAAGUGCUGGUCGUGUUGUUGUGUUGCGUAUGGUACCUCGCUUGUUCUUUCUGGUUUGGAUUCCUUAUUCAACUCUAAUAAUUUAGGCAAGAGAGAAAUGUAAAUUCUGUUUACCAAAUUGGAUGUUUGCAGCACUGAAAAAAAGAGAGAGAUUAAAAAUGGUUUGAAGUCUCUAAAAUCUAUAAUGUUGUUCUGUAGCCUUUCAAAAGGGGGAAAAAAAAAUCAAAAUAGCCAAAUUUUCACUACCAAAAUAAUAUACAAUAUUUAAAAACAAUAUAAAUUGCUAUUAGAAGGGCUUUGAAAUAAACAAUACGUUCAAACAGAAAGACA
ensembl:lncRNA